AUGGCAGCCAUGGCGCCAACAAAGAACGACGACCAGCCGCUACACAUCCUCUUCUUCCCUUUCCUCCUUCCUGGCCACCUUAUCCCGAUGGCCGACAUGGCCACUGUCUUCGCCGCUCGCGGCGUCAGGUGCACCGUCCUCACCACGCCCGUCCAAGGCUUCACCAUCCGCUCCGUCGUGGACCGUGCGAACGACAGCAGCGCCACCGGCACCCCGAUGUCCAUCUCCGUCGUGCCUUUCCCCGACGUCGGGCUCCCGCCGGCUGCCCAGAGCGGGAGGGACCUUGCUACCUCCGGGGACUACCACGACAGGUUCCUCCAGACGGCGGAGCUGCUCCGUGAGCCCUUCCGCCGGUUCCUGUCAGACCACCACGCCGACAUCGACGCCGUGGUCUCCGACAGCCUCUUCCACUGGUCCGCUCACGCCGCCGCGGAGCACGGCCUCCCGCGCAUCGCGUUCCUCGCCACCAGCAUGUUCGCCCGUGCCUGCACCGACACCCUGCUGCGGUGCAACGUGUUUGAGUCGUGCUCUGACGACCCCCGUGCCGUCGUAUCCCUGCCGGGGCUGCCGCACCGUGUCGAGCAGCGGCGGAGCCAGAUGAUGGACCCCACGAAGCGACCACAUGAGUGUGCGAUGUUCCAGCUCGUCCACGCCGCGGACCGGUCGAGCUACGGCGAGCUCUUCAACAGCUUCCGCGAGCUGGAGCCGGGCUACGCCGAGCACUACCGUGCCACGCAGCUCCGCCGCCGCGCGUGGCUUGUCGGGCCGGUCGCGCUCGCCAGCGGCAGCGUCGAGGACAUGCGGGAGCUCGCCCGCGGCCUCGACCUCUCCGGCAAGAACUUCGUGUGGGUCAUCGCCAAGGGCAGCACCGCCGCGUCGUCUGACCCGUCUACGCCAGAGGCGAACCGUGGGUACAUCAUCCAAGGUUGGGCGCCGCAGGUGCUCAUCCUAAACCACCCUGCCAUCGGCGGGUUCGUGACGCAUUGCGGGUGGAACUCGACGCUGGAGGCCGUGAGCGCCGGCGUGCCGAUGGUGACGUGGCCGCGGUACGCCGACCAGUUCUACAACGAGAAGCUCGUGGUGGAGGUGCUCGGCGUGGGCGUGGGCGUCGGCGCCGAGGACUACGCGUCGUGCUUGGAGACCCACCGGGUGAUCGCCGGCGAGGCGAUCGCAGAAUCCAUCCGGAGAGUGAUGGGGGAGGAGGGCGACGGCAUGGCCAUGCGGAAGAAGGCGAAGGAGCUCGGCUUGAUGGCGAGGGGCGCGGUGGAGAAGGGCGGGUCGUCGUACGACGACGUCGAGCAGCUCAUGGAGGAGUUGAUCGCCCGCCGGAGUUCCGUCGGAUGUACCGCCGAUGGGCAACGGUGA
rnacentral:rRNA from 1 species